GCUGGAUGUGGUGGUGCAUGCAUGUAGUCCCAGGUACUCAGAAAGCUGAGGCAGCAGGAUCACUUGUCCAGGAGUUCUGGGCUGUAGUGCACUAUGCAGUCUGGUGUCCACACUAAGUUCAGUAUCAGUAUGGUGACCUCCUGGGAGCGAAGGACCAGAUUGCCUAAGGAGGGGUGAACCAGCCCAGAUCAGAAACAAAGUAUGUGAAAACUCUUGUGCUGAUCGGCAGUGGCAUCACACCUGUGAAUAGCCACUGCACUCCAGCCUGGACAACACAGUGAGACCUUGCCUGU
rnacentral:SRP_RNA from 1 species